AUACUUACCUGGACGGGGUCAAUGGGCGAUCAUGAAGGCCCAUGGCCUAGAUUGGUGACCUCUAUUGCACUUUGGAGGGGUGCCUGUCUAAGGUCGGCCCAAGUGGUCGAGCCUACGUCAUAAUUUGUGGCAGAGGGGGCCUGCGUUCGCGCGGCCCCUAC
rfam:Capsicum annuum cultivar Zunla-1 chromosome 2, whole genome shotgun sequence